AAUUUUUAAAGCGGAGUUUCGGAAUAAGCAAUUUUUUUUUUUUUGUUACUUCAUACUUAUUAAAGUACUUUAAACAGUAAUAAUUACAAAUGUGGUUAAAGAAAUAGAAUGACGAUUUCUGAAAUUUACAAUUAGUUAAAAAACAACAAAGGCUUUAAAAUUCUUCCCCAAACAUUGUACUUGUUACAGAAGGGUGCAGGUUCCCUACCUCUCUACACAAGAAUCUCAAUAAAUUAGUGAUGGUUUAUGUCGGUAACACUACUCAAUAAAAGAAAAAAUGCGAUCAAAUGCUGUGAAAUAUAUUUCUGGCUUUGCUCUCCGUCUUGGAUCCAGGAAAGAAGGAAACUAUAGUCCUGGACAGCAUGUUAAAUGAAAACAUGAAACGGAUGUUAUUGUCCGAAACAGAAUAGAAAGCCAAUCUAAAGGUCCGACGCGAUAACAAGGGUUAGACGGUUCAACAUAACCUGACGUGCCAGGGAACUGCAUCGAGCGCCAAUAUCUGCUUCGGCAAGCUUUCUACACUAGACGCUCUUCCGAUUAAUAAAAAUAAGUCCUUGGACUGUAGUCAUGUUGAGACAUCGAUUUGAGCAAAUCCCGCAGCAUUUAUUUCCUUUACAGCUUGGUACUUAUUCCAUCGUUCUCUUUUGUCGAACUUCUAAUUUACGGGGACGUAAACAAACCAACACCAGCCGUCAAGCUAUGGUAAGGGACAAAUAACCUUAAAGAUGUACUACAUCUCCACUAAUAUAUACAUAUAUUUACGAUGGGCUUCUUUCAGUUUCCGUCAACCAAAUCCACUCACAAAGCUUCAAUCCGCCCGGGGCUAUAGAAGAAGGCAUUUGCCCGAAGUGCCACUUAGUGGGACAGAACACAGAACCAUGUAGUUGGGAAGCAAACUUCUAACCACAUAGCCACGCCUGAAAAUUCACAAAAAAAAACUUUAAAACGUGCUGUCUAAACAGGGUAUUUUCAUUUUGAUCAG